rnacentral:rRNA from 1 species
GGGAGCUUGCUCCUGCUGGAUCAGUGGCGAACGGGUGAGUAACACGUGAGUAACCUGCCCUUGACUCUGGGAUAAGCGUUGGAAACGACGUCUAAUACCGGAUACGAGCUUCAGCCGCAUGGCUAGGAGUUGGAAAGAUUUUUCGGUCAAGGAUGGACUCGCGGCCUAUCAGCUUGUUGGUGAGGUAAUGGCUCACCAAGGCGACGACGGGUAGCCGGCCUGAGAGGGUGACCGGCCACACUGGGACUGAGACACGGCCCAGACUCCUACGGGAGGCAGCAGUGGGGAAUAUUGCACAAUGGGCGCAAGCCUGAUGCAGCAACGCCGCGUGAGGGACGACGGCCUUCGGGUUGUAAACCUCUUUUAGCAGGGAAGAAGCGCAAGUGACGGUACCUGCAGAAAAAGCACCGGCUAACUACGUGCCAGCAGCCGCGGUAAUACGUAGGGUGCAAGCGUUGUCCGGAAUUAUUGGGCGUAAAGAGCUCGUAGGCGGUUUGUCGCGUCUGCUGUGAAAACGCGAGGCUCAACCUCGCGCCUGCAGUGGGUACGGGCAGACUAGAGUGCGGUAGGGGAGAUUGGAAUUCCUGGUGUAGCGGUGGAAUGCGCAGAUAUCAGGAGGAACACCGAUGGCGAAGGCAGAUCUCUGGGCCGUAACUGACGCUGAGGAGCGAAAGCGUGGGGAGCGAACAGGAUUAGAUACCCUGGUAGUCCACGCCGUAAACGUUGGGAACUAGAUGUAGGGACCAUUCCACGGUUUCUGUGUCGCAGCUAACGCAUUAAGUUCCCCGCCUGGGGAGUACGGUCGCAAGACUAAAACUCAAAGGAAUUGACGGGGGCCCGCACAAGCGGCGGAGCAUGCGGAUUAAUUCGAUGCAACGCGAAGAACCUUACCAAGGCUUGACAUAUAGAGGAAACGGCUGGAAACAGUCGCCCCGCAAGGUCUCUAUACAGGUGGUGCAUGGUUGUCGUCAGCUCGUGUCGUGAGAUGUUGGGUUAAGUCCCGCAACGAGCGCAACCCUCGUCCUAUGUUGCCAGCACGUUAUGGUGGGAACUCAUGGGAGACUGCCGGGGUCAACUCGGAGGAAGGUGGGGAUGACGUCAAAUCAUCAUGCCCCUUAUGUCUUGGGCUUCACGCAUGCUACAAUGGCCGGUACAAAGGGCUGCGAUACCGCGAGGUGGAGCGAAUCCCAAAAAGCCGGUCUCAGUUCGGAUUGGGGUCUGCAACUCGACCCCAUGAAGUUGGAGUCGCUAGUAAUCGUGAAUCAGCAACGUCACGGUGAAUACGUUCCCGGGCCUUGUACACACCGCCCGUCAAGUCAUGAAAGUCGGUAACACCCGAAGCCAGUGGCCCAACCGUA